rnacentral:rRNA from 1 species
GGCGAGUGGCGAACGGGUGAGUAAUACAUCGGAACGUGUCCUGGAGUGGGGGAUAGCCCGGCGAAAGCCGGAUUAAUACCGCAUACGCUCUGUGGAGGAAAGCGGGGGAUCUUUCGGGACCUCGCGCUCAAGGGGCGGCCGAUGGCAGAUUAGGUAGUUGGUGGGGUAAAGGCCUACCAAGCCGACGAUCUGUAGCUGGUCUGAGAGGACGACCAGCCACACUGGGACUGAGACACGGCCCAGACUCCUACGGGAGGCAGCAGUGGGGAAUUUUGGACAAUGGGCGCAAGCCUGAUCCAGCAAUGCCGCGUGUGUGAAGAAGGCCUUCGGGUUGUAAAGCACUUUUGUCCGGAAAGAAAACCUCUGGGUUAAUACCCUGGGGGGAUGACGGUACCGGAAGAAUAAGCACCGGCUAACUACGUGCCAGCAGCCGCGGUAAUACGUAGGGUGCGAGCGUUAAUCGGAAUUACUGGGCGUAAAGCGUGCGCAGGCGGUGAUGUAAGACCGAUGUGAAAUCCCCGGGCUUAACCUGGGAACUGCAUUGGUGACUGCAUCGCUCGAGUAUGGCAGAGGGGGGUAGAAUUCACGUGUAGCAGUGAAAUGCGUAGAGAUGUGGAGGAAUACCGAUGGCGAAGGCAGCCCCCCUGGGUCAUACUGACGCUCAUGCACGAAAGCGUGGGGAGCAAACAGGAUU